rnacentral:rRNA from 1 species
AGAGUUUGAUCCUAGCUCAGAGUGAACGCUGGCGGUGCGCCUAACACAUGCAAGUCGCGCGCCCCGCAAGGGGAGCGGCGAACGGCUGCGUAACACGUUGGUACCUGCCCCGAAUUCAGGGAUAACUCUCCGAAAGGAGAGCUAAUACCGGAUGGUCUCGCGAGAGUAAAGCUUCGGCGAUUCGGGAGGGGCCUGCGGCCUAUCAGAUAGUUGGUGAGGUAACGGCUCACCAAGUCGAUGACGGGUAGCUGAUUUGAGAGAAUGAUCAGCCAGAAUGGAACUGAGACACGGUCCAUACUCCUACGGGAGGCAGCAGUGAGGAAUCUUCCGCAAUGGGCGAAAGCCUGACGGAGCGACACCGCGUGAAGGAUGAAGUCCUUAACUGGAUGUAAACUUCUGUUCUGAGGGACGAAAUUUUUGACGGUACCUCAGGAGAAAGCAUCGGCUAACCCUGUGCCAGCAGCCGCGGUAAGACAGGGGAUGCAAGCGUUACUCGGAAUUACUGGGCGUAAAGCGUCUGUAGGUGUCUCUCCACGUCUGGUGUAAAAGCACUGGAGCUCAACUCCGUGUACGUACCGGAAACGAGAGAGAUCGAGUCACUCAGAGGUACCUGGAAUGCCGUGUGUAGGGGUAAAAUCCGUAGAUCCACGGUGGAACGCCGAAAGCGAAAGCAGGGUACUGGGGGUGUACUGACACUCAGAGACGAAAGCGUGGGGAGCAAAGGGGAUUAGAUACCCCCGUAGUCCACGCCCUAAACGAUGCGGGCUCGGUGUAGGGACGUUCAAUUGUUCCUGUGCCCAAGCUAACGCGGUAAGCCCGCCGCCUGAGAAGUACGGCCGCAAGGCUAAAACUCAAAGGAAUAGACGGGGACCCACACAAGCGGUGGAACAUGGGGUUUAAUUCGAUGGUAAACGAAGAACCUCACCCAGGCUCACAUGUCAGGAAUACAGUUGAAAGAUUGUAGUGCCGCAAGGAACCUGAACACAGGCGCUGCACGGUUGUCGUCAGCUCGUGCCUUGAGGUGUACUGUUAAGUCAGCGAACGAGCGCAACCCUCAUCCUAUGUUGUUUUUUCAUGGGAGACUGCCGCCUCCAAGGCGGAGGAAGGUGGGGAUGACGUCAAAUCAGCGUGGCCUUUAUGCCUGGGGCAACACCCAUGUUACAAUGGUAGAUACAAAGGGUAGCAAACCCGCAAGGGGGAGCUAAUCCCAUCAAAAUCUAUCUCAGUUCGGAUUGUCGGCUGCAACUCGCCGGCAUGAGGUUGGAAUCGCUAGUAACCGUAGGUCAGCGAUACUACGGUGAAUAUGUUCCUGGGUCUUGUACUCACCGCCCGUCAACUCAUGGGAGGCAGGGGCACCCGAAGGACCGUUACCUUAAUUGGGCGGUACCACGGUGACACUGCUGACUGGGAGUAAGUCGUAACAAGGUA